ACACUCCUGCGGGAGGCAGCAGUGGGGAAUUUUGGACAAUGGGCGAAAGCCUGAUCCAGCAAUGCCGCGUGAGUGAAGAAGGCCUUCGGGUUGUAAAGCUCUUUUGUCAGGGAAGAAACGGUGAGAGCUAAUAUCUCUUGCUAAUGACGGUACCUGAAGAAUAAGCACCGGCUAACUACGUGCCAGCAGCCGCGGUAAUACGUAGGGUGCAAGCGUUAAUCGGAAUUACUGGGCGUAAAGCGUGCGCAGGCGGUUUUGUAAGUCUGAUGUGAAAUCCCCGGGCUCAACCUGGGAAUUGCAUUGGAGACUGCAAGGCUAGAAUCUGGCAGAGGGGGGUAGAAUUCCACGUGUAGCAGUGAAAUGCGUAGAUAUGUGGAGGAACACCGAUGGCGAAGGCAGCCCCCUGGGUCAAGAUUGACGCUCAUGCACAAAAGCGUGGGGAGCAAACAGGAUUAGAAACCCGGGUAGUCCCA
rnacentral:rRNA from 1 species